rnacentral:rRNA from 1 species
GGGUAACGCUGGCGGCGUGCCUAAUACAUGCAGUCGAACGAACUUCCGUUAAUUGAUUAUGACGUACUUGUACUGAUUGAGAUUUUAACACGAAGUGAGUGGCGAACGGGUGAGUAACACGUGGGUAACCUGCCCAGAAGUAGGGGAUAACACCUGGAAACAGAUGCUAAUACCGUAUAACAGAGAAAACCGCAUGGUUUUCUUUUAAAAGAUGGCUCUGCUAUCACUUCUGGAUGGACCCGCGGCGUAUUAGCUAGUUGGUGAGGUAAAGGCUCACCAAGGCAGUGAUACGUAGCCGACCUGAGAGGGUAAUCGGCCACAUUGGGACUGAGACACGGCCCAAACUCCUACGGGGGGCAGCAGAA